rnacentral:tRNA from 1 species
GUCCCGAUAGUAUAAAUAAUUACCCUGGUCUUGUAAACCAGUAAUGAAAACAAACCUUUUCUCGGGAUA